rnacentral:rRNA from 1 species
AGACGCACUCGUGUCAGCAGCCGCGGUGAUACGAAGGGGGCUAGCGUUGUUCGGAAUUACUGGGCGUAAAGCGCACGUAGGCGGAUAUUUAAGUCAGGGGUGAAAUCCCAGAGCUCAACUCUGGAACUGCCUUUGAUACUGGGUAUCUUGAGUAUGGAAGAGGUAAGUGGAAUUGCGAGUGUAGAGGUGAAAUUCGUAGAUAUUCGCAGGAACACCAGUGGCGAAGGCGGCUUACUGGUCCAUUACUGACGCUGAGGUGCGAAAGCGUGGGGAGCAAANAGGAUUAGAUACCCUGGUAGUCCACGCCGUAAAACGAUGAAUGUUAGCCGUCGGGCAGUCUACUGUUCGGUGGCGCAGCUAACGCAUUAAACAUUCCGCCUGGGGAGUACGGU